GGCACCGUAGCCAAGUGGCAAGGCGAAGCUCUGCAAAAGCUUUAUACGUGGGUUCGAUUCCCACCGGUGCCU
rnacentral:tRNA from 1 species